rnacentral:rRNA from 1 species
CAAGUGUUAGUAUAAACUGACUUAUAUAGUGAAACUGCGAAUGGCUCAUUAAAUCAGUUAUAGUUUAUUUGAUGGAUACGUGCUUCGGUACACUACAUGGAUAACUGUAGUAACAUAGAGCUAAUACAUGCUUAAAGAUUCAACUUUCGGGAAGAAUCCGCACUUAUUAGAUUACAAACCAAUACCACUUGUGGUUCCUUUGGUGAUUCAUAAUAACUGAACAAAUCGCAUGGCCUUGUGCUGGCGAUGUAUCAUUCAAAUUUCUGCCCUAUCAACUUGUUGUUAGUGUAUUGGACUAACAAGGUGAUAACGGGUGACGGAGAAUUGGGGUUCGAUUCCGGAGAAGGAGCAUGAGAAACGGCUACUAUUUCUAAGGAAAGCAGCAGGCGCGCAAAUUAUUCAAUGGGAACAACUUCCCGAAAUAGUGACAAAAAAUAACAAUGCAUGACUU